UAUACCUACAGAAAAUAGCCAAAUCUGAGCAUCAGAAGAUGCUAGUCUACCUACCGCCCAGUCUAUCUGAUGCGUGAUCUCUUUAGUUCUGAGA
ensembl:snoRNA